GCGGAUGUGGCGGAAUGGCAGACGCGCUAGCUUCAGGUGCUAGUGUUCGCAAGGACGUGGGGGUUCAAGUCCCCCCAUCCGCA
rnacentral:tRNA from 1 species